UACGAAGGUGGCAAGCGUUGUUCGGAUUUACUGGGCGUAAAGGGAGCGUAGGUGGUUAGGUAAGCCCUCCGGGAAAUCUUCAGGCUUAACCUGAAAAGGUCGGGGGGGACUGCCUAGCUAGAGGGCGGGAGAGGAGCGCGGAAUUCCUGGUGUAGCGGUGGAAUGCGCAGAUAUCAGGAGGAACACCCGUGGCGAAGGCGGCUCUCUGGGACGGUACUGACACUGAGACGCGAAAGCGUGGGGAGCGAACAGG
rnacentral:rRNA from 1 species